rnacentral:SRP_RNA from 1 species
CCUGGGCAUGGUGGCAAUGCCUGUAGUCCCAGCCGCUUGGGAGACUGAAGCAGGAAGAUCACUUGGGUUUGGGAAUUCUAGGCUGUAGUGCACUAUGCCGAUCUAAGUUCAGCAUCAGUAUGGUGACCUCUCUGGGGUGUAGUGGAGCACCACCAGGUCGCCUAAUAAGAGGUAAAAUGGCCUAGGUCAGAAACAGAACAGGUCAAAACUCCUGUGCUGAUAAGUAGUGGGAUCAAGCCUGUGAAUAGCCAUCGCAUUCCAGCUGGGCAACAUAAAUAGACCCUGUCUCU